AAAUUGAAGAGUUUGAUCAUGGCUCAGAUUGAACGCUGGCGGCAGGCCUAACACAUGCAAGUCGAACGGUAACAGGAAGAAGCUUGCUUCUUUGCUGACGAGUGGCGGACGGGUGAGUAAUGUCUGGGAAACUGCCUGAUGGAGGGGGAUAACUACUGGAAACGGUAGCUAAUACCGCAUAACGUCGCAAGACCAAAGAGGGGGACCUUCGGGCCUCUUGCCAUCGGAUGUGCCCAGAUGGGAUUAGCUUGUUGGUGGGGUAACGGCUCACCAAGGCGACGAUCCCUAGCUGGUCUGAGAGGAUGACCAGCCACACUGGAACUGAGACACGGUCCAGACUCCUACGGGAGGCAGCAGUGGGGAAUAUUGCACAAUGGGCGCAAGCCUGAUGCAGCCAUGCCGCGUGUAUGAAGAAGGCCUUCGGGUUGUAAAGUACUUUCAGCGGGGAGGAAGGGAGUAAAGUUAAUACCUUUGCUCAUUGACGUUACCCGCAGAAGAAGCACCGGCUAACUCCGUGCCAGCAGCCGCGGUAAUACGGAGGGUGCAAGCGUUAAUCGGAAUUACUGGGCGUAAAGCGCACGCAGGCGGUUUGUUAAGUCAGAUGUGAAAUCCCCGGGCUCAACCUGGGAACUGCAUCUGAUACUGGCAAGCUUGAGUCUCGUAGAGGGGGGUAGAAUUCCAGGUGUAGCGGUGAAAUGCGUAGAGAUCUGGAGGAAUACCGGUGGCGAAGGCGGCCCCCUGGACGAAGACUGACGCUCAGGUGCGAAAGCGUGGGGAGCAAACAGGAUUAGAUACCCUGGUAGUCCACGCCGUAAACGAUGUCGACUUGGAGGUUGUGCCCUUGAGGCGUGGCUUCCGGAGCUAACGCGUUAAGUCGACCGCCUGGGGAGUACGGCCGCAAGGUUAAAACUCAAAUGAAUUGACGGGGGCCCGCACAAGCGGUGGAGCAUGUGGUUUAAUUCGAUGCAACGCGAAGAACCUUACCUGGUCUUGACAUCCACAGAACUUUUCAGAGAUGGAAAGGUGCCUUCGGGAACUGUGAGACAGGUGCUGCAUGGCUGUCGUCAGCUCGUGUUGUGAAAUGUUGGGUUAAGUCCCGCAACGAGCGCAACCCUUAUCCUUUGUUGCCAGCGGUCCGGCCGGGAACUCAAAGGAGACUGCCAGUGAUAAACUGGAGGAAGGUGGGGAUGACGUCAAGUCAUCAUGGCCCUUACGACCAGGGCUACACACGUGCUACAAUGGCGCAUACAAAGAGAAGCGACCUCGCGAGAGCAAGCGGACCUCAUAAAGUGCGUCGUAGUCCGGAUUGGAGUCUGCAACUCGACUCCAUGAAGUCGGAAUCGCUAGUAAUCGUGGAUCAGAAUGCCACGGUGAAUACGUUCCCGGGCCUUGUACACACCGCCCGUCACACCAUGGGAGUGGGUUGCAAAAGAAGUAGGUAGCUUAACCUUCGGGAGGGCGCUUACCACUUUGUGAUUCAUGACUGGGGUGAAGUCGUAACAAGGUAACCGUAGGGGAACCUGCGGUUGGAUCACCUCCUUACCUUAAAGAAGC
rnacentral:rRNA from 1 species